CCCAUCUUCAUUUACAAUAUCAUUUAUAAAUCUUAUACCAUUUUCAAACCAAUCUUUAUAAAAAUUAAAGAACCUUAGUGAGCACGCUCACAUACCCCACGUCCCCACAUUGUCAUUGGAGAAAUUAAAUAAGUGUAAGAAAAAAAAUUGUAUAAGAAAAAAUAUUGAAUAAUAAUUUCCUGUCAAUAUGCACAUCAACAUAGUAUGUCCUUAUUAUCUACAAAAUUUCAUGAAAUUCUGUUGUGUGGUUUCAGAGGAGUUGAGAUGACAAACUGUUGCAGAAGUACAUUGAAGCAAGUAAGUUCAAAGAGAUGUAACUCCUAGAAAAAAAAUUGAAUCGUAAUUUCCUGUCGAUAUCAUGCACAUCUACAUAGUUUGUCCUUAUUAUCUUAAAAGGUUUCAUGAAAUUCUGUUGUGUAGUUUCAGAGGAGUUGCAAUGACAAACUGUUGCAGUAGUACCUUAAAGCAAAUAAGUUCAAAGAGAUGUAACUCCUAGAAAAAAAAUUGAAUCGUAAUUUCCUGUCGAUAUGCACAUCUACAUAGUAUUUCCUUAUUAUCUACAAAUGUUCAUGAAAUUCUGUUGUGUGGUUUCAGAGGAGUUGAGAUGACAAACUGUUGCAGUAGUACAAUAAAGUAAAUAAGUUCAAAGGGGGGGUAACUCCUAGAAAAAAAAUUGAAUCGUAAUUUUCUGUCGAUAUGCACAUCUACAUAGUAUGUCCUUAUUAUCUUAAAAGGUUUCAUGACAUUCUGUUUUGUAGUUUCAGAGGAGUUGCGAUGACAAACUGUUGCAGUAGUACAAUAAAGUAAAUAAGUUCAAAGGGGGGUAACUCCUAGAAAAAAAAUUGAAUCGUAAUUUCCUGUCGAUAUGCACAUCUACAUUGUAUGUCCUUAUUAUCUAAAAAGGUUUCGUGAAAUUCUGUUGUGUAGUUUCAGAGGAGUUGCGAUGACAAACUGUUGCAGUAGUACAUUAAAGCAAAUACAUUCAAAGGGGCGUAACUCUUAUAAAAAAAAUUGAAUCGCAAUUUCCUGUCGAUAUGCACAACUACAUAGUAUGUCCUUUUCAUCUGAAAAGGUUUCGUGAAAUUCUGUUGUGUGGUUUGAGAGGAGUUGCGAUGACAAGAAACAGGACUGACGGACUGACGGACGGACAGACGGACGGACUGACGGACGGACGGACUGACGGACGGACGGACGGGUCAAAAACAUUAUACCCUCCGCAACUUCGUUGCGUGGGGUAUAAAUAGGUUUAUUUGCUACCUUUAUAUUAUUGUUAAACCAGAUUGGACUAACAAGAAAGCAUUCCCAACUGUCAUAUUCAUCUUUUUCUCUAAGAAGUUGCCAUGCUUUCAGAACAUCUUGCCAAAAUUUAUUUUUGAUAUGUUGUUGUAAUUUUUGGAUAUAAACACUUCCACAACCAUAAAAUUUUUCAAGUUCUACAUGAACAUUUGACAAAAAAACAUUCUGCCAUUUGUUGUCUGUUUUAAAUAAUCUCCUUAUCCAUGUACACUUCAGUGCUAAAAUAAAUGCACUAAGAUUUAUCAUUUUGAGUCCACCAUCUUCAAUAUCAUUUUGUAAAACAUCUCUCUUAAUUCUAUCAAUUGGUGAACUCCAUAUAAAAUUGUACAUAAGUUGAAUAA
rnacentral:lncRNA from 1 species